rnacentral:sRNA from 1 species
GUCGCUGCCUUAAAGAGUGAGUUUCAGAAGACACUUAAUGACAAGACAGAAAACCAGAAGUCACUGGAGGAGAAUCUGGCGACAGCCAAGCACGAUCUACUCAGGGUUCAGGAGGAGCUGCACAUGGCUGAAAAGGAAUUAGAAAAGAAAUUUCAGCAAACAGCAGCUUAUCGAAACAUGAAAGAGAUUCUUACCAAGAAGAAUGACCAAAUCAAAGAUCUGAGGAAAAGACUGGCACAGUAAGCCACACUGAUCCCGCCUUUGGAUUUCUCUCUCUGGAUUGAUGUUUGUUCUCUGUUAAAUCUAAGCUUGUUCCAGAGAGGUCAAGCCGGUGGUAGUUGCUGGAUCAUUUAGUCCAGAAGCCUUCAUUUGAGGAAAGUGGAGGAGCUCUGGCCUGACCUUAUCUAUAAUGCCCACCAGGGCUUCUUUUUAGGUUCAUCUAGGCCUUUAGACUCACACAGGCCUAC